ACAAGAUCCUGAACGGCCUUGACAAGGUGGACAUUGAAAGGAUGUUUCCUCUUUGUGGGUUCUCUUCAUUGACAAGGGCAGAUCUGGGACCUCCUCCAGCCAUGUUAUUUUCAACAAAGCCUCGCAAGAGAAUAUGCUGCCUUCCUUUAAGAGUUUUGAGAGCUGCUGCUGACUUGAUUAUGUGCAAUCUCUGUCUCCAAGUGCAAUAAUUCUCUUGACAAAGGAAGGACAUGCAGGAGGAUGAUUUAGAUGAGCCAAUUAAUGGAAUACAAUUUAAGUCAUGUGGGUGCUGAUAUGUGGAGCCAUUUGCAUUUGACAAUGGAAUCUGCCCUGAAUUGUAUGAGUGCAAAUUGUUGUUGCUGUUGGAAAGAGAAGAAUGUGUGGAGGAGCGAGAAGCUGAGCAGAAAUUUCUGAUACUUAAUUCAUUUUAAACUUUACACUGGACUCUAUUACACCUAUCCAGACAUUAAUUGCUCAAAAUAAAAUGUUUUGCCUUUUA